rnacentral:rRNA from 1 species
UACGUAGGGGGGCAAGCGUUGUCCGGAUUUAUUGGGCGUAAAGAGCGUGUAGGCGGCCAGGUAGGUCUGCUGUGAAAACUCGAGGCUUAACCUCGAGCUGUCGGCGGAAACCAUCUGGCUAGAGUCCGGAAGAGGAGAAUGGAAUUCCCGGUGUAGCGGUGAAAUGCGCAGAUAUCGGGAAGAACACCCGUGGCGAAGGCGGUCUCUGG